GUAGAGUGAUCGAAAGAUGAAAAGCACUUUGAAAAGAGGGUUAAAUAGUACGUGAAAUUGUUGAAAGGGAAGGAUUUAUGACCAGACCUUUGCCUUGCGGAUCAUCCGGUGUUCUCACCGGUGCACUUCGCUUGGUUGAGGCCAGCAUCAGUUUUGGCGGCGGGAUAAAGACUUCAGGAACGUGACUCCCCCGGGAGUGUUAUAGCCUGCUGUGUAAUGCCGCCGCUGGGACUGAGGACCGCGCUUCGGCUAGGAUGCUGGCAUAAUGGUCAUCAAUCACCCGUCUUGAAACACGGACC
rnacentral:rRNA from 1 species